GCAGUCGACGAGAGAGAGGGAGCUUGCUUCCUUGAUCGAGUGGCGAACGGGUGAGUAACGCGUGAGGAACCUGCCUCAAAGAGGGGGACAACAGUUGGAAACGACUGCUAAUACCGCAUAAGCCCACGGCUCGGCAUCGAGCAGAGGGAAAAGGAGCGAUCCGCUUUGAGAUGGCCUCGCGUCCGAUUAGCUAGUUGGUGAGGUAACGGCCCACCAAGGCGACGAUCGGUAGCCGGACUGAGAGGUUGAACGGCCACAUUGGGACUGAGACACGGCCCAGACUCCUACGGGAGGCAGCAGUGGGGAAUAUUGCACAAUGGGGGAAACCCUGAUGCAGCGACGCCGCGUGGAGGAAGAAGGUCUUCGGAUUGUAAACUCCUGUUGUUGAGGAAGAUAAUGACGGUACUCAACAAGGAAGUGACGGCUAACUACGUGCCAGCAGCCGCGGUAAAACGUAGGUCACAAGCGUUGUCCGGAAUUACUGGGUGUAAAGGGAGCGCAGGCGGGAGAACAAGUUGGAAGUGAAAUCCAUGGGCUCAACCCAUGAACUGCUUUCAAAACUGUUUUUCUUGAGUAGUGCAGAGGUAGGCGGAAUUCCCGGUGUAGCGGUGGAAUGCGUAGAUAUCGGGAGGAACACCAGUGGCGAAGGCGGCCUACUGGGCACCAACUGACGCUGAGGCUCGAAAGUGUGGGUAGCAAACAGGAUUAGAUACCCUGGUAGUCCACACCGUAAACGAUGAUUACUAGGUGUUGGAGGAUUGACCCCUUCAGUGCCGCAGUUAACACAAUAAGUAAUC
rnacentral:rRNA from 1 species